rnacentral:rRNA from 1 species
GACGAGUGCUGGCUGCGUGCUUAACACAUGCAAGUCGAACGGUGAAGGGGAGCUUGCUCCCCGGAUCAGUGGCGAACGGGUGAGUAACACGUGGGCAACCUGCCCCUCACCCUGGGAUAACUCCGGGAAACCGGGGCUAAUACCGGACACGACCGGGAGCGACAUCGCUCCUGGUGGACAGAACUUCGGUGAGGGAUGGGCCCGCGGCCUAUCGGCUAGUUGGGGGGGUAACGGCCCACCAAGGCGACGACGGGUAGCCGGCCUGAGAGGGCGACCGGCCACACUGGGACUGAGACACGGCCCAGACUCCUACGGGAGGCAGCAGUGGGGAAUAUUGCGCAAUGGGCGAAAGCCUGACGCAGCGACGCAGCGUGGGGGACGAAGGCCUUCGGGUUGUAAACCUCUUUCAGCGGGGACGAAGCGAAAGUGACGGUACCCGCAGAAGAAGCACCGGCUAACUACGUGCCAGCCGCCGCCGUAA